rnacentral:tRNA from 1 species
GACACGGUGGCUGAGCGGUAAAGCGCUUGGCUUCCAAACCAAGGGUCCCGGGUUAGAAUCCUAGUCAAGACA